rnacentral:rRNA from 1 species
GACGAACGCUGGCGGCGUGCUUAACACAUGCAAGUCGAACGGAAAGGCCCUGCUUUUGUUGGUCUCUCGAUUGGCGAACGCGUGUGUAACACGUGAGUAACCUCCCCUUGACUUUCGGAUAACUUUUGGAAACUGGGGCUCUUACCGGAUAUGAUCUCCUGCUGCAUGUUGGGGGUUGGAAAGUUUCGGCUGUUGGGUCUGGACUCGCGGCUUCUCCGCUUGUUUGUGUGGUAGUGGCUUACGAAGGGUUUGACGGGUAGCCUGCCUGAGAGGGUGACCGGCGACAAUGGGACUGAGAGACGGACCAGAAUCCUACGGGAGGCAGCAGUGGGGAGUAUUGCACAAUGGGCGGAAGAGUGAUGCAGAAACGCCGCGUGCGGGAUGACGGCCUUCGGGUGGUAAACAGAUUUCGCAGGUGACGAAGAGUGAGUGACGGUAAUGGGUAAAGAAGCACCGGCUAACUACGUG